CUAGCUCCAUCUGCUUGCAGCCGAAGCAUCAAUGGCGGAUGAGGACGACGACUUUUCGUCAACUCGUCCCCAUGUUGGCGGUUUCCGGCUGCGCUGGGACGUAUUUCUAAGCUUCAGAGGCGAAGACACCCGGGAAACGAUCACCAAGAAUCUCUACGAGGCGCUCAAACGACGCGGCGUACGAGUUUUCCUAGACGAUGACGGUUUGGACCGCGGGGACGACAUCGACCCGACUCUACUGGAAGCCAUCGAGGACUCGGCGGCGGCCAUCAUCGUCCUGUCGCCGAGGUAUGCCGACUCAAGAUGGUGUCUCAAAGAGCUUGCUAAGAUUUGCGAGGGCAGUAGGAGACUUAUUCUGCCUCUGUUUUACCAAGUGGAUCCCUCCGACGUUCGGCGGCAGACCGGACCGUUUGAGGAGCACUUUAGACUGCAUGAGCAGGUGUCUGAUAGCGCCACG
rnacentral:lncRNA from 1 species